AACCGAGAGGCUGGGGAGAAGGGGAGGAGUAGCAGCAGCAGCAGCAGUAGUAGUAGUCGUAGUAGUGCAGGAGGGCGGGGAGCGCAGUGUGAGCGAGUGGGUGAGUGUGUGUGUGUGUGCGAGCGACUGAGCGAACGUGUGCGCGCAGGCCGAAGGCCCCGCUCGUGUCACUGCCGUGCAACGGCGGGGCAUCCCGGGCCGCCUCUCCAGGUUCCUCCGCGCCCCUUCAGACCUACCAAGCUGGCAUGUGCUGAGGGGGGGACACGGACGGGAGCGCCCUCCCUAAGGGCGCGGCGGUGGUACUGUGGCGGGUGGUUUGGCGAGAGGGGAAGAAGGUACUGGAAUUCGGUGGUGCCGCUGCCCCAGCCUGCCGGGGCGAGCCCGCCGCCCCUGGGUGGCCGGGGAGGAGCCAGCCUGAGGGGCGCUGGGGUCAGGCCUCCGAUGGCAGACCUGGCGCCGCCGCGGGCCGGAGGAGGCUGCCGAGAACAUUCCAGUUCCCGUUCUGACAGACAGCCGUCAGUCAGUCCGCCGGCCGGGCGGGCUCCCGCGGGCGCCGGGCAGGAGCCUCCGCCGGGGCGGGGAGGCCGUUAUUCGCCACACGCCCUCUGGGAAGACCCGGCCGCUCCUUGUCGCGGGUCGGGAGGCAGCUGUUGAAGUGGUCGCCGGAUAUAAGGCUGUGUGAAGAGCGGAGGUGGACCCCUUGUUUCUUAGGGAUAGGAAGGAAGAGAAAACAAGUCUUAAAUAAUGGAGGGGAAGCUUCCCUGAAUACAGCUCAACUUCUUGUUGGACUCAGCAGUGGUCAAGCCAUUCUUUUUGGUUGAAAGCAUACAGAGAAGAAAACAGGAAAACAAAAUUAAUCUCUCAGGCAAAAGAAAAAAUGUGCACUUGAUGUUAGGAUAAAUGUGCCUAUGUUUAGUUAACAAUGACGUUUAUUUUGGGAAGGCUGCAGCAGCCAAUUGCAUUUUGGGGCAGCAAAAACUCCAGUUGAAUGGGCAUGUUGCUGAUGUCAAUCUGAAAGGCGUUUUCUUUUUGUAUUUUGAUGAAGUAUCAUUUAAUCUCAUUGUAAUGUAUAUUAAGGGGUUGGAAAAUACAUUUUUUUGUCAAGUCAGGCAUGUUCAACUUACAGGAAAAUCUUUACUGAAAUUGGUAGGAUCAAUACGGGUUCACAAUAUGAGACUUGGGGUGGCUGAAGCUUUGUGCAUAGCGAAUAUGCAAACAUGGUGAAUAAUCACAUGCUAAAGGAUAAAUUAGUUUUCCCCUGAUGGAUUUGUCUAUCUUAGGAAAAGUAGAUGAGGGCCCUUAACUGAAUUAAUGCUUUGGAUGCUGCCGACAAUGGUACAAUUGCACAUAAAAUUUUCAAAUGAGGUGAAGUACCAUGUUGAGAAGAGGUACCAUUUUGACUAGCUAGAUGUCUCCUUGUGGAACUAAAGCUUGUUUAUGUGAGGAAUGAUACCAAUAUAAUUAAAACCAUUUAGAAACUGAUAUAUCAGUGGUACAUUUGCAGGGAUGCUAACAUGAAGAGAAGGUAAUUACCAUCAAGGAGUUACAGUUGUUUACAGCAACAUCACUGUUGCCACCUCAAAACCCCUGCUGCAACAGUUUGUAGUGGUAUUUCUCUGCUACCGACUCCCUGACAGAGGUUGCAGCCACUGCAGCAGAAAUGGCAGAAAGGAGUAUUUUUUUAGUGCCUCAACCAGUUCCUAGCAAAGUCCUAGGUGGCCAGUGAAAAUGUGUUUAAGCUAGAACGUUCCAUGAAGAUGGCUUCAUGCUCAGAUGUCUAUAUAAAUAACAAAACAGAACAAAAAAAAUUUUAUGUAUCUGGGGAAGUCGUAAGUGAGCAAACUUAAGACCCACCUCACAGAAAUGUGUAACAUUUCUGCUUAUGUCUGCUGCUUUGGUAGAUAGUGUUCACCCCAAAAAGCAAAGAGAAAACGCAUAAUUGAUUGAACUUUAAUCAAAGCCUUCAAAGGUAAAAAUGGAAUGAAGGCAAGAUACUCCAACUUUACAGUGAGGUUAAUUCAUUGAGAUUGUCCUCAGAUGGGGCAAUAAGGCUGGCCUCCAUGACGUUGCUGCAGUAAAGAAGCGUCUUAUCUUUUACACCAAGAUAGUUCAUGUUUCUCAGGUAACUAACAUAACAACAAAAAAAGUGCCUACUUUUUCUAAGUAAUGAAGGCAAAUCCUGUGAUGUUGAAGUAAAUCAUUGAGAUAAGAAGCUGUGGAAAGUGUCUGUUUUGCUGGUACUCUCCGCUGAAGUCUUCUCAUGCCCUAUCCAUUGUGUAUUUGGAACAGUACUUUUCCUGAAGUAUGUGAAUCCUAGAGGGAAGGAUACUCUUCACCUACCUGUCUGUUGAUCUCCAGUAUGUGGUAUUAUGAGUGUGCCAUAUUUUGUUGAAGUGGUGCAUUUCAGCCUGAUACAUCUGGCAACAAAGUAAUUAUUAGAGCUGGUUAGUGUUUCUCCUUUUUUUAUGGAAAAUGUAAUUGUUUUCCAAUUUAAAAAUAAAAUUUCUUUUCUAAUACAGCUUUCAUGUAUGUGCUUGGUACUCAUUAACUUUUUCCUUCAGCCAUUUUUCUGGAGACUUAACCUGUUCAUCUAGCUGUCCUCACAGGUUUAAAAGAGAGAACCUCUUCCAAAGUAUCUUCAUUUGCUCUAAACUCUCAAGGUUCCUUUGUGAAGGUGAUGUUGAAAAGAUGAUAUUCAGCUGAGAUCUUCUUAAGGUUAAGUAGAUGGGAAUAAUUAUCUCUCUUGUCAAAAGUGCCUUUCUGAAUGUAUUCCAAAAUGAAGUCUGUGCAUGAGAAAGGUGUGUUGGCUUGUGGUGAUGAUGCGUUAGUGUUUCUAUUUAUUUUGUAGUCCACAAAAUUCCAGAGUGUGGUUUGAUGUCAUAUUUUAAGGGUGAGAAGCACACUGUGGUGUUGAUCUUUCUAUCCAUGUUUCUUUCAGGCUGCCAUUUUGCUUCCCAACUAGGUGGUCCCAGUUUUGUGUUUGUGUUUUUUGCAAGAGGAUCACUUUACACUUGAUAUUAUUGAAUUUUAUCUUAAUAUUUUCUAAGCCCCUCUGCAAUUUCUCAACAUUGUUUUCAGUUCUAAUCCUCUGUUGUAAGGUGCUCACCAAAUCUCACUAGCUUUGUACAGGUUGUAUAAACAAAUUAAUCACUGAAGCAAUUAAAAAUAAUAUUUAAUAGAACUAUGCCCAGAAUAGACAUCUCUGGGGCUCUGAAGUGUUUUCGGUUAUUAAGCUUUCAUUCCUGGGUGCUAACAUGUUCUGGUUCAGGCAGGCAGUUACUUUUUGUAUGGUUUUGGUAGGAUGUUUCCUAAUUUUGGCUAUUGCUGGCCUGUUGAAGUGCCUGUUGGAAGCGGUCAGACAACUUUUGCUGAGAGGGACAAACUCAGAAUUCUGAACUGGUGCUAGUAGUUCUUGAAGAGUCCCUUUUGCUCUUCUUGUGAUUAAUGGUGCUUUGACUGCAAAUGUGAAUUUAUCCAUCUUUAAACAGUCUCAAAGUUUGUGUCUGAGUUCAAGAAUCAGAAGUAAGGUCUAUGAUGAUUUGUUUAUUCUGGUCCUCCCAGUAUUAGAACUGUGCUAAUUGCCGCACAGUGGGGGAAUACAUAAGGAAAAUUACCACUGUAGGAUUUUGAUCCUGUAAGCAGCCAAUAUUGUGAAUGUACUAGACUGUGGAAAAAUAAAUCUUUGUAUGAAUAUGAAGAUUAGGGUGAUUCAAUUUAGUCAAAGUGAAAAACAAGUAUAGAGGACCAUGUUGCCGCCUUCUGAUAACGUUCAACUCAAACCAGGCUACCAUAUGUUACAGGAUCAGUUCUAGAUUGCAAUAUGAAGUUGGGUUAGAAAGGAAAUCUAGGUAGUAAAUACUGGGGCCUUUGAAAGUGAGACUUACACUUGAAUUCUGGAUAAGUCACAGUUAUGUACCAGGAAAAUGUUAUGACUGUUCGGUAUAUCAAGCAUGGCAGUCACAAAGGCAAAAACACAAAAACCUGGAUUCCCAGAUUAGUGGAAUUUGCUACAGCUUGCUCUUUUAUCCUCCAUGCACUAUUUUUUUGUCUAAACCCAAUUUUUGAGUAGCAUUCCUCUCUUUUUGCUCACAAAUAUUUAACUUCACUGCAGCUUCUUCCUUUUUAUAGUUAUCUACUUUUUUCAUUUGCAUUACACUUUCUUCCAGUAUAUUUGUUCCUUCAUCAAUGCUAUUUUAGCCAGUGUUAUGCAUAGUGACUACAAGGUGGAAUUAUAUUGCCUAAGAAAUAUUCAUUUAUCUAAGCUACUGCUUGCAUCUUAUGCACAAUUUGAGAACCAGUUAUGAGUACUGUCUCCACUUUUUGAAAUACAGACUUGGUUUUGCCGAGAUAUAAGCAUGUUUAAGACAAUGGCAUCA